CGUGCAGGUGGUCUAUUAAGUUGGAUGUUAAAUCUCCCGGCUUAACUGGGAGUUGUCGUUCAAAACUGGUAGACUGGAGGACGGUAGAGGAAGGUGGAAUUCCGGGUGUAGUGGUGAAAUGCGUAGAUAUCCGGAGGAACAUCAGUGGCGAAGGCGACCUUCUGGACCGCUCCUGACACUCCAACGCGAAAGCUAGGGUAGCAAACG
rnacentral:rRNA from 1 species